rnacentral:rRNA from 1 species
UCUGGCGGCUUUAGCGCGGUGGUCCCACCUGACCCCAUGCCGAACUCAGAAGUAAAACGCCGUAGCGCCGAUGGUAGUGUGGGGUCUCCCCAUGUGAGAGUAGGGAACUGCCAGAC